rnacentral:rRNA from 1 species
GACGAACGCUGGCGGCGCGCUUAACACAUGCUAGUCGAACGGAAAGGCCCUGCUUUUGUGGGGUGCUCGAGUGGCGAACGGGUGAGUAACACGUGAGUAACCUGCCCUUGACUUUGGGAUAACUUCAGGAAACUGGGGCUAAUACCGGAUAGGAGCUCCUGCUGCAUGGUGGGGGUUGGAAAGUUUCGGCGGUUGGGGAUGGACUCGCGGCUUAUCAGCUUGUUGGUGGGGUAGUGGCUUACCAAGGCUUUGACGGGUAGCCGGCCUGAGAGGGUGACCGGCCACAUUGGGACUGGGGUACGGCCCCGACUCCUACGGGAGGCAGCAGUGGGGAAUAUUGCACAAUGGGCGGAAGCCUGAUGCAGCAACGCCGCGUGCGGGAUGACGGCCUUCGGGUUGUAAACCGCUUUCGCCUGUGACGAAGCGUGAGUGACGGUAAUGGGUAAAGAAGCACCGGCUAACUACGUG